GGCCCAGGAACACUAUGAGGAGAUGCUGGUUCUCCUGUAGCUGCUCCUCUUUAGGUGACCCUGGUGAGUGAUGGUGGUUUGGGGACUGUGAUGGAAGCUAUGACCCACUUCAUUUAAAAUCAUCCCUGAAGAUUGGCCAGAACCAUCCUGGAUUCAUUUCUGAGUGAGACACAUGGCUGCCGCCCUAUUUUCUUCCCUAGGCCUUGGAUCUUGGAUCUGAGGCUUCUUUUUGAAUCCUGUCAGCCCUGUUAGCAUUUAGAAUUCCUAAUAUUUUUUCUAAAAUAAACUCUUAGUCAAGAGGAUCUCUCUUCCCUCUAUGUUUCCUUCUAACAUCAAUUUUCUAAAAUUCCAAGAGUAGUCUGUCUCACCUCUGUCCUUAGAUUCUAUUUUCUACAUGUGGCAGUGGCAAUGGCAAUGUUUGUGCAUUUUACACAGCUCCUUGGAGAUCUUCUGCCCAUCUUUUCUAUUAGUUUGUUCAUUCUGGGAGUGUGGAGGAAAGGGGCUGGGCCAAGCUGGCUUUCAGAGUGGGGACAGUACUUCUUCCUCAUGGUGAAAUUGCAGGGUGUGUGUGUGACGGGGU
rnacentral:sRNA from 1 species